CGGGACGGGUGAGUAACGCGUGGGUAACCUGCCUCAUACAGGGGGAUAACAGUUAGAAAUGACUGCUAAUACCGCAUAAGCGCACGAGAUCGCAUGAUAAAGUGUGAAAAACUCCGGUGGUAUGAGAUGGACCCGCGUCUGAUUAGCUGGUUGGCGGGGUAACGGCCCACCAAGGCGACGAUCAGUAGCCGACCUGAGAGGGUGACCGGCCACAUUGGGACUGAGACACGGCCCAAACUCCUACGGGAGGCAGCAG
rnacentral:rRNA from 1 species